rnacentral:rRNA from 1 species
CCUACGGGAGGCUGCAGUGGGGAAUAUUGGACAAUGGGGGCAACCCUGAUCCAGCCAUGCCGCGUGUGUGAAGAAGGCCCUCGGGUUGUAAAGCACUUUCAGUGAGGAAGAACGCCUGGUGGUUAAUACCCAUCAGGAAAGACAUCACUCACAGAAGAAGCACCGGCUAACUCCGUGCCAGCAGCCGCGGUAAUACGGAGGGUGCGAGCGUUAAUCGGAAUUACUGGGCGUAAAGCGCGCGUAGGUGGCUUGAUAAGCCGGUUGUGAAAGCCCCGGGCUCAACCUGGGAACGGCAUCCGGAACUGGCAAGCUAGAGUGCAGGAGAGGAAGGUAGAAUUCCCGGUGUAGCGGUGAAAUGCGUAGAGAUCGGGAGGAAUACCAGUGGCGAAGGCGGCCUUCUGGACUGACACUGACACUGAGGUGCGAAAGCGUGGGUAGCAAACAGGAUUAGAUACCCGUGUAGUC